GGGCAGGUACCCAAGCGGCCAAAGGGGGCAGACUGUAAAUCUGCUGGCUUAUGUCUUCCAAGGUUCGAAUCCUUGCCUGCCCA
rnacentral:tRNA from 1 species